rnacentral:rRNA from 1 species
ACGUGAUCUGAGUUCAGACCGGAGUAAUCCAGGUCAGUUUCUAUCUAUAAAGAGCUUUUUCUAGUACGAAAGGACCAAAAAAGCAUGGCCUAUAUAUUCUACAAGCCAUUAAUAAUAACUAAUGAUUUUGACUUAAUUAGAAAUGUAUCUACAAUUCGUCUCGAGAAAAGAGAA